rnacentral:lncRNA from 1 species
GUGAUCUACAUUCAUCCUUCUUUGUUGUCUUACAGAAAGCAUUGCUUGAGUUGAUGUGCACUGAGGAUCUCUGGUGUGUCACUUUUCACACCGAAGCGUAACCAAACCACUGAAGUCGACACACACAAUGAUUGAAAAGAGAAGACAAUCCCGAAUCAGUAUUUACAAUAACUGUGUGUGAGCGCCAUGGUUACAGACGAGGAGAAAGGCUUAUUGUUUUGGCCCUGAGCAGAACAUUUAUUUGGUGUUAUCUGAUUAUAUGCUGGUUCUUGCUGAAGACUUGCUAGAAAAAAAUAAAGGAUAAGAUUCUCUUGAGGAACUGGAAGACAAUACGCAAGAAAAUAGAAGCUAAGAAGAAUUUGAU